UACAGAGUCAAUGUGGAGGCUAUAUACAAGGGGUACCAGUACAGAGUCAAUGUGGAGACUAUAUACAGGGGGUACCAGUACAGAGUCAAUGUGGAGGCUAUAUACAGGGGUACCGGUACAGAGUCAAUGUGGAGGCUAUAUACAGGGGUACCGGUACAGAGUCAAUGUGGAGGCUAUAUACAGGGGGUACCAGUACAGAGUCAAUGUGGAGGCUAUAUACAGGGGGUACCAGUACAGAGUCAAUGUGGAGGCUAUAUACAGGGGGUACCAGUACAGAGUCAAUGUGGAGGCUAUAUACAGGGGGUACCGGUACAGAGUCAAUGUGGAGGC
ensembl:lncRNA